rnacentral:lncRNA from 1 species
UGUCGCUCAGGAUCGCCUCGGUGGUGCCGGGGCUGCGCUACGCCCUGCGCCGGGCGGCCGGCUCCUCCUGCAGCCGCCUCCAGGAGCACCUCCAGGAGUAUGCAGAGCUCCGGGAGAGCCGCCGGGCCAUUCCCGGUGUCCCCGUCCCCUCUGGGUGCCAGGACGGCGACGCCGGCCCUUCCCGGGGAUUCUCGGAGCGAUCCCUGGCCCAGCUGCGCCGUUACCUGUCCGACCCCGGCAGCUUCACCCUGGGGGUGUCGGCAGCCCUGCAGUGCCUGCGUGGGGCUGCCGGGAACGUGGGCGACAAUCCCGGCAAUUCCUCCUCCUCCUCCUCUUCCUCCGAGCCCCCGGGCGCUGCUCCUUGCACCAGAUCAGCGGGAGCCGUGCGGGAUGAGAGAGAGCUUCCAGAGGGAUCCCUGAAAAGCGUCACCUCUCGCAGCAAGCCCUGGGGCCGGGAGCUGCGGAGGAAAUCCAGCAGGAUCCCGGGGAAGGGCCCUGCAGCCCCCACGGCACAGAGCCCUCCUGGCCAGGGCAGCAGCAGGAGCAGGGAGGCAGCCAAGAAGAAAACCAGCGGCGCCUCCUCUUCUCCCGAAAAAUCGGGAUCCGCUGGAAAUCCCACCGAGCCCAUGCUGAAAUUGGCCAAUCUGCGGUUGCCACAUGGGAGGAAAAGAGGUGCAGAGGUCCUGGCUGCAGAAAUUGUCCACAAACCGCAGUGUGAAGGGGCUGAGGAGGAGAAGGAGAGCUCAGCUCCCAAUGGUCCUGCUGUGGAGGCAAAGAGGCCCAAAACCCUGGAAAACCUGGACACCAAGAGGGUUCCUGUCCCUGACAGUGGCACCACAAAGCCAGGGAAAAGCAAAACGCAGAAAAACGUGGAAAGCAGAGCAGCAAAACCUCAGGAGAAGCAGCAGGAAGAGAGUGGUGAGAAAAAAUUCCCUUGGGAAAAAAUUCCUUUAAAAGCUGAGCCAUCCAAUGGCAGGGAGGAAACAAAUGGCUUUGGAUUGAAAUGGGGAAAAUGUCAAAUAUUGGGGAGAAAUUCUGGGGUGGAAUUCCCAGAGAAUCCUCCUGGAUCCCUGGGAAUGUCCGAG